GCCCCAGCUGUGUUUCCCUCCUGUUAUUCAUUCCCUGAUUGCUCCCUCUUUGUAUUUAAGCCCUGUGUUUCUCUGUGUCCGUGUCGUGAUCUACCGUUUAUUUUGCUGUGUGUUUUGCCAGUCCACCGGUGUUAGUUUAUUUUCAGUUUUUCCCAGUUAUGUUAUGUUUGCGUUCAGCAUUAAAGCUGUUUUGGUUUAAGUUUGUCUCCGGAGUCUGCACCUUGGGUCCUAUUCCUGUUUGCACACAGCCGUCACAUACCACAUUCAGUCUGUGGAAGACUGUAAGGCUGUAAGUGAUCUGAGGACCAAUUUGCCAUGGGAGACCCUACCAGGGGUAAAAGCCCCCAGACAACAUAGCCCCUGGGAUCCCUGGGACACACAAACCCCUCCACCACGAUAAGGUAGCGAUUCAAGGAGGACCACUUAGUGAUUUUUGUCAUAACACAAACAAGUCGUCAAGUCAAGCAGUUGAGGAAAGGGCUUAAGGAAACCAUGGUAUGGCCGCUUCUGACAGAAAGAUCAGACAUCAUUCUUCUUUUCUUACCAAGGGAAUCAGAGACUGCUCCCUGUUGUGAGAAGAUGAAGAUGAGGAAGAAAAGGAAUGCUCUCGAGGAUAAAUGCAGAGUGGCAGGUUACCUUCGGUCCUUCAUUGAAAAUGCAUCUUGUGCACAACAAAAAGCCCUCAUCAAGUUUUGGACAGGAUGGGAAGUCUUGCCGAGAAAUGACUGUGGAAGUGGUCAACAGCAGUCUUCCAAAGUCUUCCACCGGUUUUGCGUACUACGUCUUCCUGCACACUACUGUACCUAUGAGUCAUUUCUAAUGGACAUUCAGGUGUGUCUCAACUCUACUGACUCAGGUUUUGGUCUGGUUUACAAUUGAUUCCAUAACGACAUGGUAAAAUUAGACCAUUUCUUCUUUCUUGCAUCACAUUACUGUAUUCAGUGUUCAAAGAAACGGACAAUCUAGUGAGUUCUAGUUUUUUUUUUUUUUUUUUUUUUUUGUUUUUUUUUUUGUUUAAUACACUUGACAGUGAAAAAUACACAGUACAGGUG
ensembl:lncRNA